CGCCAGACUCCUACGGGAGGCAGCAGUGGGGAAUAUUGGGCAAUGGGCGCAAGCCUGACCCAGCAACGCCGCGUGAAGGAAGAAGGCUUUCGGGUUGUAAACUUCUUUUGACAGGGAAGAGCAGAAGACGGUACCUGUCGAAUAAGCCACGGCUAACUACGUGCCAGCAGCCGCGGUAAUACGUAGGUGGCAAGCGUUGUCCGGAUUUACUGGGUGUAAAGGGCGUGCAGCCGGGCCGACAAGUCAGAUGUGAAACCCGCGGGCUUAACCCGCGAACUGCAUUUGAAACUAUUGGUCUUGAGUACCGGAGAGGUCAUCGGAAUUCCUUGUGUAGCGGUGAAAUGCGUAGAUAUAAGGAAGAACACCAGUGGCGAAGGCGGAGGACUGGACGGCAACUGACGGUGAGGCGCGAAAGCGUGGGGAGCAAACAGGAUUAGAUACCCGAGUAAAC
rnacentral:rRNA from 1 species